rnacentral:lncRNA from 1 species
AAGUUAAAGAUCGUCUCAUGGGAGUAAAUUAGGGUUAAUUAGUAGUAACAGUCUAAAGUCUCAUUAGAAAGAUGAGGAUGCACGGAGAGAAGACGCGUCUGGACGGCUGGAAGACUUCAAUGUCCAUCACGGGAUGACGCUUUCAGUGACCAAGCAGACAAGCUGUUAGAGGAGCUCGAGCAGCUCCUUCAGGUUGUGAAACAUCUGUGUGAGGGUUCUCGGUUCUCGGUUCUCGGUUCUUGGUUACAACAUGAGAGCACUUGCUCUUCAGGAGUGAAGGUUUGUGGGACAAGAAGCUCGUCUCCAUGGUAACUGAGUCAUGUUGAUGUUUUUUUUAUAUGAUUUUACAAUAAUAUUGAUCUGAUUUAUUCAGA